UACGUAGGGUGCGAGCGUUAAUCGGAAUUACUGGGCGUAAAGCGUGCGCAGGCGGUUCGUUGUGUCGGUGGUGAAAUCCCCGGGCUUAACCUGGGAAUGGCCAUGGAAACUGGCGAACUGGAGUGUGGCAGAGGGGGGUGGAAUUCCGCGUGUAGCAGUGAAAUGCGUAGAUAUCUGGAGGAACACCGGUGGCGAAGGCGGCAUCCUGGACCGGCAUUGACGCUGAGGAGCGAAAGCCAGGGGAGCAAACGGG
rnacentral:rRNA from 1 species